rnacentral:rRNA from 1 species
AAUGAACGCUGGCGGUAUGCCUAACACAUGCAAGUCGAACGGCAGCACCGUGAGUGGUGGCGCUUGCGGGUGGCGAGUGGCGGAAGGGUGAGGUAUGCAUCUGAUUAUUCUUUUUCGGGGGUGCUAACAUAGGGAAACUUACGCUAAUAACGCAUAUGACCUCCGGGGGAGGGCAGGGGAUGUUUUGACCUUUCGGGAUGGAAUGAGCCGAUGUCGGCUUAGCUAGUUGGCGGGGUAAAGGCCAACCAAGGCGACGAUCCGUAGCUGGUCUGAGAGAAUGAUCAGACACACUGGAACUGAGACACGGCCCAGACUCCUACGGGAGGCAGCAGUCGGGAAUAUUGGACAAGGGGGGAAAGCCUGAUCCAGCCAUACCGCCUGGGUGAAGAAGGCCUUCGGGUUGUAAAGCCCUUUUGUUGGGAAAGAAAAGCAGCAGUUUAAUACCCCGCUGUUCUGACGGUACCCAAAGAAUAAGCACCGGCUAACUUCGUG